rnacentral:tRNA from 1 species
GAGGGUGUAGCUCAGUGAUAGAGCACAUGCUUAGCAUACAUGAGGUCCUGGGUUCAGUCCCCAGUGCCUCCA